CCAAUAGCGUAUAUUAAAGUUGUUGCAGUUAAAAAGCUCGUAGUUGAAUUUCGGGAUCAAUUCGUCGGUCGUGCUUUUUGGUACGUACUGGCGUCAUUGGUUUCUCCCUUCUGACGAACCAUGAUGUCAUUAAUUUGGUGUUAUGGGGAGUUAGGACUGUUACUUUGAAAAAAUUAGAGUGUUUAAGGCAGGCAUUGGCUUGAAUACAUUAGCAUGGAAUAAUGAAAUAGGACGUUCGAGCCUAUUUUGUUGGUUUCUAGGAUCAACGUAAUGAUUAAUAGGGAUAGUUGGGGGCAUUAGUAUUCAAUUGUCAGAGGUGAAAUUCUUGGAUUUAUUGAAGACUAACUACUGCGAAAGCAUUUGCCAAGGAUGUUUUCAUUAAUCAAGAACGAAAGUUAGGGGAUCGAAGACGAUCAGAUACCGUCGUAGUCUUAACCAUAAACUAUGCCGACUAGGGAUCGGAUGAUGUUAAUUUUUUAAUGACUCAUUCGGCGCCUUACG
rnacentral:rRNA from 1 species